AGAGUUUGAUCAUGGCUCAGGACAAACGCUGGCGGCGUGCCUAAAACAUGCAAGUCGAACGGGUCAUGCUUCGGCAUGGUCCGUGGCGGACGGCUGAGUAACACGUAGGUAACCUACCCUGGGGUGGGGAAUAACCCGCCGAAAGGCGGGCUAAUACCGCAUACGAUCCCUGGUCUCUGGAUCGGGGAGGAAAGUGGUGACAUGCCCUGGGCUGGGCCUGCGGCCGAUUAGCUAGUUGGUGGGGUAAGGGCCUACCAAGGCGAUGAUCGGUAGCUGGUCUGAGAGGAUGAUCAGCCAGACUGGGACUGGGACACGGCCCAGACUCCUACGGGAGGCAGCAGUUAGGAAUCUUGGGCAAUGGGCGCAAGCCUGACCCAGCAACGCCGCGUGGGUGACGAAGGCCUUCGGGUCGUAAAGCCCUUUUCCCGAGGAAGAUAAUGACGGUACUCGGGGAAUAAGCCCCGGCUAACUACGUGCCAGCAGCCGCGGUAAUACGUAGGGGGCGAGCGUUGUCCGGAUUUAUUGGGCGUAAAAGGCUUGUAGGCGGCCACCGCGCGUCGUGCGUGAAAUCUCCCGGCUCAACUGGGAGGGGUCGUGCGAUACGGCGGGGCUCGAGGCCGGUAGGGGGACGCGGAAUUCCCGGUGUAGUGGUGGAAUGCGUAGAUAUCGGGAGGAACACCAGUGGCGAAGGCGGCGUCCUGGACCGGUGCUGACGCUGAGGCGCGAAAGCCAGGGGAGCGAACGGGAUUAGAUACCCCAGUAGUCC
rnacentral:rRNA from 1 species